rnacentral:rRNA from 1 species
AUGAAGAGCUUGCUUUUGAUCAGUUAGCGGCGGACGGGUGAGUAACACGUGGGUAACCUGCCUGUAAGACUAGGAUAACUCCGGGAAACCGGGGCUAAUACUGGAUAACUUUUCUCUCCGCAUGGAGAGAGAUUGAAAGAUGGCUUCGGCUAUCACUUACAGAUGGACCCGCGGCGCAUUAGCUAGUUGGUGAGGUAACGGCUCACCAAGGCAACGAUGCGUAGCCGACCUGAGAGGGUGAUCGGCCACAUUGGG